rnacentral:rRNA from 1 species
ACCUCGGAUCAGGUAGGNAUACCCGCUGAACUUAAGCAUAUCAAUAAGCGAGAAGAA